rnacentral:rRNA from 1 species
GGUACCUAAAGAAUAAGCACCGGCUAACUACGUGCCAGCAGCCGCGGUAAUACGUAGGGUGCGAGCGUUAAUCGGAAUUACUGGGCGUAAAGCGAGCGCAGACGGUUAGUUAAGCAAGAUGUGAAAUCCCCGAGCUCAACUUGGGAACUGCGUUUUGAACUGGCUAGCUAGAGUGUGUCAGAGGGGGGUAGAAUUCCACGUGUAGCAGUGAAAUGCGUAGAGAUGUGGAGGAAUACCGAUGGCGAAGGCAGCCCCCUGGGAUAACACUGACGUUCAUGCUCGAAAGCGUGGGUAGCAAACAGGAUUAGAUACCCUGGUAGUCCACGCCCUAAACGCUGUCUCUUAUACACAUCU